GACGAACGCUGGCGGCGUGCCUAAUACAUGCAAGUAGAACGCUGAAGGAGGAGCUUGCUUCUCUGGAUGAGUUGCGAACGGGUGAGUAACGCGUAGGUAACCUGCCUGGUAGUGGGGGAUAACUAUUGGAAACGAUAGCUAAUACCGCAUAAGAGUAGAUGUCGCAUGACAUUUGCUUAAAAGGUGCAAUUGCAUCACUACCAGAUGGACCUGCGUUGUAUUAGCUAGUUGGUGAGGUAACGGCUCACCAAGGCAACGAUACAUAGCCGACCUGAGAGGGUGAGCGGCCGCACUGGGACUGAGACACGCCCCAGACUCCUACAGGAGGCAGCAGUAGGGAAUCUUCGGCAAUGGGCGGAAGUCUGACCGAGCAACGCCGCGUGAGUGAAGAAGGUUGUCGGAUCGUAAAGCUCGGUUGUAAGAGAAGAACGAGUGUGAGAGUGGAAAGUUCACACUGUGACGGUAUCUUACCAGAAAGCGACGGCUAACUACGUG
rnacentral:rRNA from 1 species